rnacentral:rRNA from 1 species
GGACCCGCACAAGCAGUGGAGCAUGUGGUUUAAUUCGAAGAUACGCGCAGAACCUUACCAACACUUGACAUGUUCGUCGCGAGACCAAGAGAUUGGUUUCUUCAUUUAGUUGGACGAAACACAGGUGCUGCAUGGCUGUCGUCAGCUCGUGUCGUGAGAUGUUGGGUUAAGUCCCGCAACGAGCGCAACCCCCUACUUUUAGUUGCCACCAUUAAGUUGGGCACUUUAAAAGAACUGCCAGUGAUAAGCUGGAGGAAGGUGGGGAUGACGUCAAGUCCUCAUGGCCCUUACGUGUUGGGCUACACACGUGCUACAAUGGCACUUACAAUGGGAAGCAAAGAGGUGACUCCUAGCUAAUCCCAAAAAUGUGUCUCAGUUCGGAUUGCACUCUGCAACUCGAGUGCAUGAAGCUGGAAUUGCUAGUAAUCG